GGCUCAGGACGAACGCUGGCGGCGUGCUUAACACAUGCAAGUCGAGCGAUGAAGCUUCUUCGGAAGUGGAUUAGCGGCGGACGGGUGAGUAACACGUGGGUAACCUGCCUCAUAGAGGGGAAUAGCCUUCCGAAAGGAAGAUUAAUACCGCAUAAGAUUGUAAUAUCGCAUGAUAUAGCAAUUAAAGGAGUAAUCCGCUAUGAGAUGGACCCGCGUCGCAUUAGCUAGUUGGUGAGGUAACGGCUCACCAAGGCGACGAUGCGUAGCCGACCUGAGAGGGUGAUCGGCCACAUUGGGACUGAGACACGGCCCAGACUCCUACGGGAGGCAGCAGUGGGGAAUAUUGCACAAUGGGGGAAACCCUGAUGCAAGCAACGCCGCGUGAGUGAUGACGGUCUUCGGAUUGUAAAGCUCUGUCUUCAGGGACGAUAAUGACGGUACCUGAGGAGGAAGCCACGGCUAACUACGUGCCAGCCGCGGC
rnacentral:rRNA from 1 species